rnacentral:lncRNA from 1 species
AUAAAGUGCUUAAGACAAUGCCUCAUGCAUAGUAAGUGUAUUGCAACUAAUUGCUAAUUAAAAUAAUAAUUCUGAGUAACAGAUACUGAAAGUCAAGACUAAGUAAUUGGCAGUAGCAACAGAAAGGAAGGGCUGGCUAGAAUUGAGAUGUUUAUUUUCCAGGCAAAAUUUAAGAGGUUUUGAUGACCAGUCAGUUGGAUGUGAAAUGAAGAUGUGAACAAGCUAGACUCUGAAGUAAUACGGCCCCAGUCUCCAUGAGAGGAUAUUCAAUAUCACUCAAAAACUCACUUUCCUGCCAGGCACAGUGGUGCAUGCCUGUAAUCCCAGUGGCUUGGUAGGCUGAGAUAGGAGGAUUGCAAGUUCAAAGCCAGACACAGCAAAAGCAAGGUGCUAAGCAACUCAGUGAGACCAUGUCUCUAAAUAAAAUACAAAAUAGGGCUGGGGAUGUAGCUCAGUGGUC